rnacentral:rRNA from 1 species
ACAGAGGGCUCGAGCGUUGCGCGGAGUCACUGGGCUUAAAGGGCGCGUAGGCGGUUUGAUAAGUUACGGUUGAAAUCCGGCGGCUCACCCGUCGAACUGGCCGUGAUACUGUCGAACUGGAGGUGCGGAGGGAUGCGUGGAACUUGUGGUGGAGCGGUGAAAUGCCCAGAUAUCACAGGGAACACCGGUGGCGAAGGCGACGCAUUGGCCGCAAUCUGACGCUGAGGCGCGAAAGCAUGGGGAGCGAACGG